GCAAUGGAUGGAUGGCUCAGCUGGUUAGAGCGUGGUGCUGAUAAUGCCAAGGUUGCAGGUUCGACCACCUGCCUAUUCCUGCA